UACAGACUCCUACGGGAGGCAGCAGUGGGGAAUAUUGCACAAUGGGCGCAAGCCUGAUGCAGCCAUGCCGCGUGUAUGAAGAAGGCCUUCGGGUUGUAAAGUACUUUCAGCGGGGAGGAAGGCGAUAAGGUUAAUAACCUUGUCGAUUGACGUUACCCGCAGAAGAAGCACCGGCUAACUCCGUGCCAGCAGCCGCGGUAAUACGGAGGGUGCAAGCGUUCAUCGGAAUUACUGGGCGUAAAGCGCACGCAGGCGGUCUGUCAAGUCGGAUGUGAAAUCCCCGGUCUCAACCUGGGAACUGCAUUCGAAGCUGGCAGUGUGGAGUCUUGUAGAGGGGGGUAGAAUUCCAGGUGUAGCGGUGAAAUGCGUAGAGAUCUGGAGGAAUACCGGUGGCGAAGGCGGCCCCCUGGACAAAGACUGACGCUCAGGUGCGAAAGCGUUGGGAGCAACCAGGAUUAGAUACCCCAGUACA
rnacentral:rRNA from 1 species